rnacentral:lncRNA from 1 species
GUGAGCCCACAUAAGGUCGGUCCAUGUUGUUGAUAGAAAGGUUGGUGAGAAGUUGCCUGAAUUUUAGGAGACAAGCGGAGUCCGCAUGAAGAAAUAUUUGUAAAUAUUAGAGUUUUUUAGGCAAUAUCUUUAAAUAGAAUCUGUGUGUAAUAAAUUAUGUAAUAGAUACGAGUUCGUGUCUAACUCUAGUUACUUUCGGGGGUAUAAAUACAAC